GCAAACUUGGUCAUUUAGAGGAAGUAAAAGUCGUAACAAGGUUUCCGUAGGUGAACCUGCGGAAGGAUCAUUAAUGAGUCUUUGAAGUGGGUUUGAUGCUGGUCUUUCGAGGCAUGUGCUCGCCCUAUUCUCAUCCACUCACACCUGUGCACCUUACGUUUAAGAAGUGGUUGUUGCCUCCCUUCGGGUUGGCAAGUUAGGGAAACCUAGCUAUGGCCCUUCUUUGCGUUACUUUACACAAACUCUUGAAUGUCAUAGAAUGUAUAUUGGCCUACGGGCUUUAAUUUAAAUACAACUUUCAACAACGGAUCUCUUGGCUCUCGCAUCGAUGAAGAACGCAGC
rnacentral:misc_RNA from 1 species